GGCGGGACCUGGCUCGCCGGAAGAGGAAGGAGCGGCGCUAUGCAAAGCGUGGUAUCACUCCGCUUCCGUAAAGCCGGAUCCCCUUCAACUCCCCUCUAGCCACUCUGGUUGUCGGUGUUGUUUUUUGGGAUGAGGCGAGACAAAGUCUGCUGAGGAAAUGGUGGCUGUUAAAGAUUUACUAGGAGCGGGUCCCUGAGAUGUCCUGGGGACAAGAAGAAGGAAAUAUCAAAAAGUGACAAUCGUAUGCCAAUUGCGGUCCUUCAUCUGAUAAAGUAGGUAUCUCGUCCUGAGUCCCAGGUGCCGGGCCGGUCUCCAAACAGUCGGCGCCAUUGUCUCAUGUCCUUGAGCUCAUCUGACUGUCUGUCCCUCUCUCGUAGGUGUCUGCACCCCUUCGAGGCAAGGAAAUGAGAAAACUACUUCUCAUCCAAGCGGAGCAGGUCAAUGAAGAGGCGGGCACUGCUUGGGAGUGUGGAUACGGGUGUCAGAGCGAGUGGUCGGUGCUGCAGCCUGCACAUCCUCUGCUGGGUUUGGCGCCGCGGUGCAGUGGGCCACACGCCUCUUUGCUGUUCUACCCGCACGCCGAGCGGUGGGAAGCGAAAGAGAAACUGCGACCGGAGUGGGAGGACGACCACCGGGACCUUGCGCCUCCGAAGGCCUGCUUUAAGUCUGGUCACUUCUGCAAGGAAGGAAAGGAGGAGGAGUCCGGUUCAAAUCUCUGGAGAUUGACUUCCAGUGGCAGCUCUGGUGGUGUUGGAAUUGCUGCUGAGCACUACCUUCAACAGGUGUGUACCUACCCAGGAACCAUCCAUCCUCUCCCAGCUUGGUUGUGUUUUCUCUUCACUCUGACUGUAAUAUUGACUGAGGCUGGGAUUGGAAAGGAGGCUUAUUGACUGCUGGACUGGUGAUUGGCUCUAACUUUUCUUUCCAACUGUAUCACCUGAGUCAUCAAAAAAUUAGAGUGUGAAGAUACAAAACUGUGAGAAAUCUGUGGUAGAAGCUGAGACUGGGAUAGUUGUAGUUAUUCAG
rnacentral:lncRNA from 1 species